UAGUGUUUGAUUAAUGGUCAGGAGCUGCAUCAUCUGUCUUGAUGGAGCAGCAAUGACAGCACACUGGAGGCACACAGAACCGGAAAAGCAGAUUUUAUUGACUUCAAAUAAAAUAGGUGGAUGUAAACAAGGUAACACUUUCCUUCUAAACAGAUGUCAAUUUUGUAGGGCUCAAUCUCAAAGCAGAGGCACCAGCGAUGGGCAAAUGUGGCUGCCGCCCCUACACAUACAAAUGGGAUUUGGUUUGGUUAACUUGUGUAAAAAGCAACAAUAAGUAAUAUAAAAGUAGAGAUGGUAAGGUCGAAGACAUGGUUGUAAGAACCAAGAACCAGUGGCGAAGCUAGAGCUAAUGGCUGGGGGGUGCACAAUAGAAGCAAAGCGGUAGGAGCAAGGCAAAAACACUCACCAUUUAGACCAAAAUGAAGAGAAAAUUGAUCACUGUAAUGUAGGUUUCACUGUUGUAAGAAUGCCAAUAGUCCAAAACGAUCAACAAAUGAUGUCCCAUAUAUCAAAAUAUUUGAUCCAACCUAAAGAAAAGAGAACAAACAGGUCAAUUAUUUAGCAAAAAAAUGUACAAUUGUUCACUGAAAAUAGAUUCAUUGCAUUUGCAUUACCUCUCUGAAUUCUUAGAGAUCAUAUUUACGCCCUUUUCCUUCCAUGGUCAUGAAACGACGAAUCACAGCCUCAUUGCUAAUUUUCUUCAUUUCCUCUUUCUCUAUAUAGCAAAUAAGUCUGUGACUCAAGUGUUGAUCACCCAGACGAUUAGACAAACUUGUUUUUACAAUCUUCAUGCCCGAAAAACAUCUCUCAACUGUUGCCGUAGCAACAGGCAAUACUAGCACAAGCUUCAAAAGUCGAUAGACCAAUUUAUACAAACGAUAUUUCUCUGUCUGUACCAUUUUUUGAGAGAGCUCACCAAUAGUGUUUAUGUUGGAGAAUCUAUGGUCUUCUCUCACAUCAGCAAUGUAAAGGCGAAGUUGGUGGCUAAGGUCUCUCAUCUCAUCAUUGUUAAAAUCAUCAGGAUAUAGUUUGGCUAAGCUCAUCAAAGCCUCUCCAUUGAAAGCAUGAAAUGAGUCUCUUGGACUGAAAGCAGCUGAACAAACAAGCAAUUGAGAGGUUGUUUCACUGAAGCGGCUAUCAAGCUCUUGAAUUAACCAAUCAAUAAUAUCAUUAAAGCAAUCCACUGCAUAGUGAUGUUUGUUUGUAAUUCCUGAUUUCUUCCUAGGUUGUCGGGGAUCAACAUAUGCAUUUUCCAUUUCCACUCUAUUAAUUUCAUGGAAGUCACAAAACUGAUUCACUUCUUCUAAUAAUUUUUCCCAGCCAUCUCUUCUAAGAUCAUCUAAAUGGAGUCUAGUUGAUUUCAAACAUCCAAUGGCAUUUACAAUGUCUUGAUCCUUGCGUUGCAAUGCUAAUGACAAUGAAUUUGUGGCACUUAAUGUAGUCAACAUGAGAUGCAAAUAAAACACAAAGUCAAAAGACUGGAAGUAUACCAGAAGAUUUGAUGCUUGAUCUCUAUUUUUCCAAUCUCUGUCGUCCUUUUCAACAACCUUUAGCACUUGAACUAUUGUAGGAAACAUGCUGACCAAACUUUUCAGAGUUUUAUAAUGAGAACUCCAUCGAGUGUCUCCGGGUCUUUGAAGACAUUGCUCUUGAUUUAACCCUGUCCCGGUCUCAAGUUGCCCACAGCCUAAUGCAUGCUUCACUUGUUCAUAAUUGAUAUCCCUAAUCAUGUCCCUUCUCUUAGCUGACCCACCCACCACAUUUAGUAAGAUAGAAAUCAUGUUUAAAAAAUUGCUUACACCCUUAUGCUUACACCACAAUAAGUAAUAUAAAAGUAGAGAUGGUAAGGUCGAAGACAUGGUUGUAAGAACCAAGA
rnacentral:lncRNA from 1 species